CCUACGGGAGGCUGCAGUGGGGAAUAUUGGACAAUGGGGGCAACCCUGAUCCAGCCAUGCCGCGUGUGUGAAGAAGGCCCUCGGGUUGUAAAGCACUUUCAGUGAGGAAGAACGCCUGGUGGUUAAUACCCAUCAGGAAAGACAUCACUCACAGAAGAAGCACCGGCUAACUCCGUGCCAGCAGCCGCGGUAAUACGGAGGGUGCGAGCGUUAAUCGGAAUUACUGGGCGUAAAGCGCGCGUAGGUGGCUUGAUAAGCCGGUUGUGAAAGCCCCGGGCUCAACCUGGGAACGGCAUCCGGAACUAUCAAGCUAGAGUGCAGGAGAGGAAGGUAGAAUUCCCGGUGUAGCGGUGAAAUGCGUAGAGAUCGGGAGGAAUACCAGUGGCGAAGGCGGCCUUCUGGACUGACACUGACACUGAGGUGCGAAAGCGUGGGUAGCAAACAGGAUUAGAUACCCCUGUAGUC
rnacentral:rRNA from 1 species